rnacentral:rRNA from 1 species
AGAGUUUGAUCCUGGCUCAGGACGAACGCUGGCGGCGUGCCUAAUACAUGCAAGUCGAGCGGACAGAUGGGAGCUUGCUCCCUGAUGUUAGCGGCGGACGGGUGAGUAACACGUGGGUAACCUGCCUGUAAGACUGGGAUAACUCCGGGAAACCGGGGCUAAUACCGGAUGGUUGUUUGAACCGCAUGGUUCAGACAUAAAAGGUGGCUUCGGCUACCACUUACAGAUGGACCCGCGGCGCAUUAGCUAGUUGGUGAGGUAACGGCUCACCAAGGCAACGAUGCGUAGCCGACCUGAGAGGGUGAUCGGCCGCACUGGGACUGAGACACGGCCCAGACUCCUACGGGAGGCAGCAGUAGGGAAUCUUCCGCAAUGGACGAAAGUCUGACGGAGCAACGCCGCGUGAGUGAUGAAGGUUUUCGGAUCGUAAAGCUCUGUUGUUAGGGAAGAACAAGUGCCGUUCAAA